rnacentral:rRNA from 1 species
GCGGGACACGUGGUAUCCUGUCUGAAUAUGGGGGGACCAUCCUCCAAGGCUAAAUACUCCUGACUGACCGAUAGUGAACCAGUACCGUGAGGGAAAGGCGAAAAGAACCCCGGCGAGGGGAGUGAAACAGAACCUGAAACCGUGUACGUACAAGCAGUGGGAGCCCCACCACUAAGCCAGUGGUGAACUCCACAUACGCAUCCUUUGCGGAAGAUGCGGUUAACGGAGCGAAAGCGACGUUCAACCUAAAAAGAAGCAGAGGGGGCUUAGUGGUGGGGUGACUGCGUACCUUUUGUAUAAUGGGUCAGCGACUUAUAUUCUGUAGCAAGGUUAACCGAAUAGGGGAGCCGGAGGGAAACCGAGUCUUAAUUGGGCGUUAAGUUGCAGGGUAUAGACCCGAAACCCGGUGAUCUAGCCAUGGGCAGGUUGAAGGUUGGGUAACACUAACUGGAGGACCGAACCGACUAAUGUUGAAAAAUUAGCGGAUGACCUGUGGCUGGGGGUGAAAGGCCAAUCAAACCGGGAGAUAGCUGGUUCUCCCCGAAAGCUAUUUAGGUAGCGCCUCGUGAAUUCAUCUCCGGGGGUAGAGCACUGUUUCGGCCAGGGGGCCAUCCCGGCUUACCAACCCGAUGCAAACUGCGAAUACCGGAGAAUGUUAUCACGGGAGACACACGGCGGGUGCUAACGUCCGUCGUGAAGAGGGAAACAACCCAGACCGCCAGCUAAGGUCCCAAAGUCAUGGUUAAGUGGGAAACGAUGUGGGAAGGCCCAGACAGCCAGGAUGUUGGCUUAGAAGCAGCCAUCAUUUAAAGAAAGCGUAAUAGCUCACUGGUCGAGUCGGCCUGCGCGGAAGAUGUAACGGGGCUAAACCAUGCACCGAAGCUGCGGCAGCGACACUAAGUGUCGUUGGGUAGGGGAGCGUUCUGUAAGCCUGCGAAGGUGGCCUGUGAGGGUUGCUGGAGGUAUCAGAAGUGCGAAUGCUGACAUAAGUAACGAUAAUGCGGGUGAAAAACCCGCACGCCGGAAGACCAAGGGUUCCUGUCCAACGUUAAUCGGGGCAGGGUGAGUCGACCCCUAAGGCGAGGCCGAAAGGCGUAGUCGAUGGGAAACAGGUUAAUAUUCCUGUACCUGGUGUUACUGCGAAGGGGGGACGGAGAAGGCUAUGUUGGCCGGGCGACGGUUGUCCCGGUUUAAGCGUGUAGGCUGGUUUUCCAGGCAAAUCCGGAAAAUCAAGGCUGAGGCGUGACGACGAGGCACUACGGUGCUGAAGCAACAAAUGCCCUGCUUCCAGGAAAAGCCUCUAAGCCUCAGGUAACAUCAGAUCGUACCCGAAACCGACACAGGUGGUCAGGUAGAGAAUACCAAGGCGCUUGA